rnacentral:rRNA from 1 species
AACGAACGCUGGCGGCAGGCCUAACACAUGCAAGUCGAGCGAGGUAGCAAUACCUAGCGGCGGACGGGUGAGUAACGCGUGGGAACGUGCCCUUUGCUACGGAAUAGCCCUGGGAAACUGGGGGUAAUACCGUAUGUGCCCUUCGGGGGAAAGAUUUAUCGGCAAAGGAUCGGCCCGCGUUGGAUUAGGUAGUUGGUGGGGUAAUGGCCUACCAAGCCGACGAUCCAUAGCUGGUUUGAGAGGAUGAUCAGCCACACUGGGACUGAGACACGGCCCAGACUCCUACGGGAGGCAGCAGUGGGGAAUCUUAGACAAUGGGCGCAAGCCUGAUCUAGCCAUGCCGCGUGAGCGAUGAAGGCCUUAGGGUUGUAAAGCUCUUUCGUGGGGGAAGAUAAUGACUGUACCCCAAGAAGAAGCCCCGGCUAACUCCGUGCCAGCAGCCGCAGUAAAAC